GACUAAAAUAACAUAUUCCCUCCAGUUUUUUCUGCCUAAGUUGGGAAAAUUUAGGAAAAUAUUUUAGAAAUAUACAAAUCUCCCAUCCACUAUAAUUCUCAUCAUUGCUGCCCUACCGCCGAACUUCUGUCUCACCGCAGCGUCACCAUCCCCAGGUCCGUGAUGCCAACAGUGGUCAUGAAUGAGUACCACAAACGCAACAGAAUCAUAGUAAUAGUGAAAAUACUCCAUCUUCUCACGAUGAAGAAGAGCAACAGUCAAAUGCUGGCUAUUAAUGAGGUAUGAUGAGGUUACAUAUAUCUAUAUUCGUAUAUUAAUUGAUUGUAAGUAUUAGAAAUGGGUGAUUAGUAAUUUAAUUAUUACAAAUUAUGGUGCCUA